GACAGAGGUGCCGAGCGUUAGGCGGAAUCACUGGGCUUAAAGCGUGUGUAGGCGGACUUCUAAGUACCUUGUGAAAUCCCACGGCUCAACCGUGGAACUGCUUGGUAUACUGGUCGUCUUGAGCCAUCUAGGGGCUGUCGGAACAAAUGGUGGAGCGGUGAAAUGCGUAGAUAUCAUUUGGAACGCCAAAGGUGAAAACAGACAGCUGGGGAUGUGCUGACGCUGAGACACGAAAGCCAGGGGAGCGAACGGGG
rnacentral:rRNA from 1 species